rnacentral:lncRNA from 1 species
AGGAAUGAGAUUGGGAAUUGACAAAUGCAUACAUCUUCCAUAAAAUCCACAUGACAAGAGUGGGAAGUGAGAACGAUGUUAAAGGAAAACAAUAACUCUCAUCACAAAUCCAUAAUAAUGGUCACAACUCACAAUUCACAUCCACAAAGAAGGAUGGUCCACGAUUUUCCUUCAUUAGGAAGCUAUGCUUCAUGAAUGUGCAUAGACGACUAUAUAUGCUCAUU